rnacentral:rRNA from 1 species
GCGAGAAUUUUGGGCAAUGGGCGAAAGCCUGACCCAGCAACGCCGCGUGAAGGAUGAAGUAUUUCGGUAUGUAAACUUCGAAAGAAUAGGAAGAAUAAAUGACGGUACUAUUUAUAAGGUCCGGCUAACUACGUGCCAGCAGCCGCGGUAAUAUGUAGGGACCAAGCGUUGUUCGGAUUUACUGGGCGUAAAGGGCGCGUAGGCGGCAAUUCAAGUCAUCUGUGAAAUCUCCGGGCUUAACUCGGAACGGUCAGAUGAUACUGCUUUGCUAGAGUGCAGAAGGGGCAAUCGGAAUUCUUGGUGUAGCGGUGAAAUGCGUAGAUAUCAAGAGGAACACCUGAGGUGAAGACGGGUUGCUGGGCUGACACUGACGCUGAGGCGCGAAAGCCAGGGGAGCAAACGGGAUUAGAUACCCAUGUAGUCCCUGAGCGGGCUGGCAAGGCGCAU